UACGUAGGAGGCGAGCGUUGUCCGGAGUUACUGGGCGUAAAGGGUGCGCAGGCGGCGGUUCGCGUGGCGAGAUGAAAUCUCCUGGCCUACCUGGGAGGAUGGUCGCCAGACGGGAUCGCUUGAGGGUCGGAGAGGGGCGUGGAAUUCCGGGUGGAGCGGUGAAAUGCGUAGAUAUCCGGAGGAACACCGGUGGCGAAGGCGGCUUCCUGGACCGAUACUGACGCUGAGGCGCGAAAGCUAGGGGAGCAAACGGG
rnacentral:rRNA from 1 species